AAAUAAUUGGGUUUAUCAAAUAUGGAUAAACCCUGUUAUUUCAUGCAGUUAAGCAUAUUGUUUGGGGCAAGAACUAUAACUCUAGUAAUGUUAAUUCAAGGGCAAUAACUCUACACUUCCUGGUGUUGGAGCGUGCGCGUUAAGCUCUUCCUUUUAUAUUCAACUGUUCCCUGAGUCGGUCACAAAAAAUCAACUAGAGAAAUAAUCAAGUUUUAUCGUAUUAAUCGGCGAGUUUUAUUACUUUAUACCGGCAUAUUAUUUCAAUAUCAUGCUGAGGGUAAGGAACCAAAGGGCAUCUAAGGCGAGAAGCCCAUACGCAGCCGUGCCAAAUGGAACAAAUACAGUUGCCUCGAGUAGUGUAUUGGCACGAGGUCGUCGCGGAAAUCGUCGAGGAGGUCAAGUGAGACAGCCCGUUGCAAACAUCUCCAAUAUUAAUGCUCCUCCGACACAAGCGACUCCUCCAACACCUGCGGCUCCGACGACACCAGCGACACAGGCGUCAACUGAAGCAGGCCAGGGAAUGUCACGGAGCGGGAUGAUUGGGAUGAUUCCUCACAACAUGCCGCCCAUAGUUAACCCCACCCCUGACGCACCAAGUGCGUUGUCGUCACAUGUUCCCACCAACAUGAAUCAAGGUACAGAAAAUUAUUUGGAAAAUAAUAUUGACGCGCCAAACCCAUUUAACAGUGUUACUUCUAUACUGGGAUCCCAUGUAUCCCAAGCUCUUAAAGAUAAAAUUUGGAAUGGCGAAUUUGUUCAUUUAAACAAAUUGUUGCUUCAAGAGCCUUGCACAGAAAUGCAAAAUCAAAUUGUUUUCGAGGGGGGUGUUUUUCAGGUCAAACCAAAAAAUAAAGAAACAAAAAUUACAAACUUCUCGCAAUGGAUGGAUGCAUUUUUCAUAUAUGCUUCUAUAUACUUAGAGAAACAUCCACUACAAGCCAUUUCACUCUUCAGGUAUAUGUCAACAAUAAAAAGGGGGGCUGCUAGUAACAAUUCAGGUUGGUUGGAUUAUGAUGUGCAAUUUCGCUUAAAGAAGUCCGUCGACUCCUCUUUAAACUGGGGAUCUAUUGAUGCUGAACUAUGGUUGUUUUACAUGCAAACAGUUAAUAAAACCCAAUUGUCAAAUCAGUCAACUCGUAGGUAUUUGAAAUGUUAUGCCUACAAUUAUGAAGGUGUUUGUCAGAAACAAUAUUGCAAGUAUUUGCAUCAGUGCAUUUCAUGUAAUGCAUAUCAUCCCUCCAUUAACUGCUUCAAAAAUAAUCAAUCUAAUCAAAUUCCCAAAAAUGCACCUGCUCGUUCGGAAAAUUUUAAUUCCAACAACAAAUUUUUCAGGAAUCGACAACAAACCACAGGACGGCAAACCUACAUGUAACUUGUUACAUAAAUUAUGGGAUAUUGGCAGCACUCCAAUCAAUACAUCUAACUUCGAUUCUUUACUGUGGUCAAGAUUCCGACAGUUGGCUCCUACAGCAGACAAUUUUCCAUGUCAAAUUCCUGCUCCAUUUUGGGAGAUUAUUCAUCAACUAUAGAUCAACUGUUAGAAGCCAGUAUAUCUGAAAACUCAAGUAA